rnacentral:rRNA from 1 species
AGUGAACGCUGGCGGUAGGCCUAACACAUGCAAGUCGAACGGCAGCACAGUAAGAGCUUGCUCUUACGGGUGGCGAGUGGCGGACGGGUGAGGAAUACAUCGGAGUCUACUUUUUCGUGGGGGAUAACGUAGGGAAACUUACGCUAAUACCGCAUACGACCUACGGGUGAAAGCAGGGGAUCUUCGGACCUUGCGCGAUUGAAUGAGCCGAUGUCGGAUUAGCUAGUUGGCGGGGUAAAGGCCCACCAAGGCGACGAUCCGUAGCUGGUCUGAGAGGAUGAUCAGCCACACUGGAACUGAGACACGGUCCAGACUCCUACGGGAGGCAGCAGUGGGGAAUAUUGGACAAUGGGCGCAAGCCUGAUCCAGCCAUACCGCGUGGGUGAAGAAGGCCUUCGGGUUGUAGAGCCCUUUUGUUGGGAAAGAAAAGCAGCAGGCUAAUACCCCGCUGUUCUGACGGUACCCAAAGAAUAAGCACCGGCUAACUUCGUG